GACGAACGCUGGCGGCGUGCUUAAUACAUGCAAGUCGAACGGAAAGGCCCUGAUUUUGUGGGGUGCUCGAGUGGCGAACGGGUGAGUAACACGUGAGUAAACUGCACUUGACUUUGGGAUAACUUCAGGAAACUGGGGCUAAUACCGGAUAGGAGCUCCUGCAGCAUGGUGGGGGUUGGAAAGAUUCGGCGGUUGGGGCUGGUCUCGCGGCUUAUCAGCUUGUUGGUGGGGUAGUGGCUUACCAAGGGUUUGACGGGUAGCCGGCCUGAGAGGGUGACCGGCCACAUUGGGACUGCGGUACGGCCCAGACUCCUACGGGACGCAGCAGUGGGAAAUAUUGCACAGUGGGCGGAAGCCUGAUGCAGCAACGCCGCGUGCGUGAUGACGGGUUUCGGGUUGUAAACCGCUUUCGCCUGUGACGAAGCGUGAUUGACGGUAAUGAGUAAAGAAGCACCGGCUAACUACGUG
rnacentral:rRNA from 1 species